rnacentral:lncRNA from 1 species
CUUUCUUUCUUUGCCUAGUAAGAGGCCAGAUGGAGUCCCCAGACAUUAUGAGCCACUACAGCUGGAAGCUGAAUGGUUGAUCGGAACCCCAGUCUCGCAUCGAGACACCGGAGAUGAGAACGGCUGUUUGCUUCUGAAGCAGGUGUGGUUAGGCUAAAUGGAGAGAAGAUGCCCACCUGGAAGGACACGUCCACCAGCUGCCCAGGGCUGUCUGUUUCCACAAACGCCACCUGUUCCUACUCAGAGGAGAUGGCUCCAGUCCUCGGGAGCUUCUGCUUGUGUCUAUUGUGUGGAUGCUUUUGUGUCUCACCAAGUCCAGAAUCCCACGUGAGUCUCUGGAUGCUGAUGGGGGUUACUGUGCUUAAUCUGAUUCUGGACAAUGACACCAGCUUCUAGGGUGUGAGGCUCACAUAUUUUUCUGGGAGCUGGGAACGUGUGUGAAGGAGAAUAAUGUGCAGCUCGUGGAGGAAGAGGGCGAUGAUCCUGAAAGAAACCUCUUCACAACGACAGUGCCCUGUGGGGUCUGGCCAGCCAGAGUGGUGAUGUGUGGUCCUUCCCUCUGCACCUUAUUCCACAGUUCACUUCCUCAGCCUGCAGACACAGAAGCAGGUGAACACAUGAACGCAGGCCUUCAUUCAUGUCCUUCUUAUUCCUGCUGUGUCUGUGCCUGUAUCCUCAAAGCCUCCCAUGACAUGAAUCAAAGUCUUUGUCCCCUGGAGUCUUCCUGACAAAGUCAGACCCAGAGAAUUUUUUUUUAUUGCUGUUACACUGGAAAGCUCAGUGCCCUUUGCUUUCUACUCUUGUCCAGAAAACAAAUCUUACCUCUUGGAGGACAGGGGGCAGAGGGCCGAACCCAAUCUGCCACCCAACACAGAAACAAAUACUCAGCAACUCAGCCAUGUGCUCUAAGCAGGAAUGGAUAAUGAAGGAGAAUGGAUAUAGAUGAGCCAUGGGAACUAAGAAGGGAAGACACCAAAAGGACUCCAGUGACGUCGCUUUGAGGCCUCAACUAGAAGUCCCAUUGCUUUCAGAAGCCCUGGUCAUGCAGCUAGGAUGGGGGCUGGCUCCUGAUGCUCUUACCUAUUAACUUUCUGAUAUCUGUCAGUUAAACAGAACCCAUUUUCUUAUCUAUACAGUGGAGCCUUGGGUGGACAGUCAGCAGAAAGCUCUACUGGACUGAUCAUAACCUCAUGUUUGUGCACAUAAAAAACCCACAUACUGUUUCCUUCUUACUGAACACCUUCCUCAAUAUCAAACUCAUAGAACAAAAGGACAUCAUUUUCUAGACUGAUAUCUUUUUUAAGGCUUUGUAAAUCUGCAGAUCAGAACCAUCAGGAGACCUUGUAAAACUUUAAAUUGCUGGAUCUUAAUUUCAAAGAUUUUGAUGGGUGGGCUAAGAUAGGUUCAGAAUCAAACAGUUAACCAGGUUAGGAUAUACUAACAUAAUGUUUGUUGCAUCUCAAUUAACCAGGUUAGGAAGUACUGACUGAUAAUGUUUGUAGAUAUCUGCCCAAGAGCUGACUGAUAAGUAGGUAUUGGCAUUGUGGGGUUUUAAACAUAUUUCUUAAACUGUAAUAAACAUGAAUACUGGCAAAUGGUGUCCAAUUUAAAAUUAUAGUCACAUCCAUACACAGGAUGUUAAAGAAAGGGGUGUGUGUGUCUGUCUGUAAAUUUCCUGAAGGUGUGUGCUGUAAUUACUCAGUAUUCCAGACCUCUCAAAUAUCAAUUUAUCUCUGUAAUCUGAUCAUUUGUGGCAGCUAGGAUAUGUCCCCUUCACAGAGUUCACUCAUGUUUCUGAAAUGAUCCCUCUAACUAAGAAAUAAGACCGUAUAUAAAAAGAGAUUGGCAUGGUAAGACAAAGAUAAAAUCCCAGAAAAAGUACUUUUUAGUGAAACAGCGAUGAGCACCGUUCUGCUUGAAAUUUUGUCUGGAAAUUUGAAUAUUUGAGUGGAGAAGACAGGAACUUAUAAGAAUGCUCUCAGCCAGGGCAGUUUUACUCCUGGGUUAGGCUCGGGUCAAAGCAAUCGACAGAAGUUUAGACUAAACAGGAAGGAAAGCAGCUCAAUUAACAGGACAGUCACAGGAAUGGCUGCCUCAUCGAGAAAAAAACAAACUCAGAAGAAUCCAGUUGCAGACACUUGGCUCCUCCAUUCAGAUAAACGCCAUGACUUCCAGACUGUUCUAAGACUUAGCCUCGUGUGUUGUACUCUCAUACAGAGUUCCUGAGAAUCAACCCAAUCCAUCUUUUG